ensembl:snoRNA SNORD16 Small nucleolar RNA SNORD16
GGCAAUGAUGCAACUUGUGUCUUACACUCUCUUCAGUGACGUUGCCUGCUGUCAUUAAAACUGGUUCAGAAGACUGACAAAAAUUGUCACUGAGCA